rnacentral:rRNA from 1 species
GGAUAUGUGACGUGACCGCAUGGUGUGCGUCUUGAAAGAAUUUCGGUUGUGGAUGGGCUCGCGCCGUAUCAGCUUGUUGGUGAGGUAAUGGCUCACCAAGGCGUCGACGGGUAGCCGGCCCGAGAGGGUGACCGGCCACACUGGGCCUGAGACACGCCCCAGACUCCUACGGGAGGCAGCAGUGGGGAAUAUUGCACAAUGGGCGCAAGCCUGAUGCAGCAACGCCGGGUGAGGGAUGACGGCCUUCGGGUUGUAAACCUCUUUUAGCAGGGAAGAAGCGAAAGUGACGGUACCUGCAGAAAAAGCGCCGGCUAAUUACGUGCCAGCAGCCGCGGUAAUACGUAGGGAGCAAGCGUUAUCCGGAAUUAUUGGGCGUAAAGAGCUCGUAGGCGGUUUGUCGCGUCUGCUGUGAAAUCCGGAGGCUCAACCUCCGGCCUCCAGUGGGUACGGGCAGCCUAGAGUGCGGUAGGGGAGAUUGGAAUUCCUGGUGUAGCGGUGGAAUGCGCAGAUAUCAGGAGGAACACCGAUGGCGAAGGCAGAUCU